rnacentral:rRNA from 1 species
AACGAACGCUGGCGGCAGGCCUAACACAUGCAAGUCGAGCGCGCCCUUCGGGGUGAGCGGCGGACGGGUGAGUAACGCGUGGGAACGUGCCCUUUUCUACGGAAUAGCCUCGGGAAACUGAGAGUAAUACCGUAUACGCCCUUUGGGGGAAAGAUUUAUCGGAAAAGGAUCGGCCCGCGUUGGAUUAGGUAGUUGGUGGGGUAAUGGCCUACCAAGCCGACGAUCCAUAGCUGGUUUGAGAGGAUGAUCAGCCACACUGGGACUGAGACACGGCCCAGACUCCUACGGGAGGCAGCAGUGGGGAAUCUUAGACAAUGGGGGCAAACAUGAUCUAGCCAUGCCGCGUGAGUGAUGAAGGCCUUAGGGUUGUAAAGCUCUUUCAGCUGGGAAGAUAAUGACGGUACCAGCAGAAGAAGCCCCGGCUAACUCCGUG